GACGAACGCUGGCGGCGUGCUUAACACAUGCAAGUCGUACGGUAAGGCCCUUUCGGGGGUACACGAGUGGCGCACGGGUGAGUAACACGUGAGUAACCUGCCCACAACUUUGGGAUAACGCUAGGAAACUGGUGCUAAUACUGGAUAUGUGCUCCUGCUGCAUGGUGGGGGUUGGAAAGCUCCGGCGGUUGUGGAUGGACUCGCGGCCUAUCAGCUUGUUGGUGGGGUAGUGGCCUACCAAGGCGGCGACGGGUAGCCGGCCUGAGAGGGUGACCGGCGACAUUGGGACUGAGAUACGGCCCAGACUCCUACGGGAGGCAGAAGUGGGGAAUAUUGCACAAUGGGCGCAAGCCUGAUGCAGCAACGCCGCGUGCGGGAUGACGGCCUUCGGGUUGUAAACCGAUUUCAGCAGGGACGAAGCUUUUUGUGACGGUACCUGCAGAAGAAGCACCGGCUAACUACGUG
rnacentral:rRNA from 1 species